CUUGCACUCUGCGCUUGGGAGCCUGAUCCUCCGCUGCUGCCUGCCAGCGCUGCCAGGGGCUGAGCCUGGCUCUGGGGGACAAAACCAAGCGGGGCAGAGGGGGCUCAGCAUCGCCUCGGUGCCUUGGGGGCUUGCUGGGGUCUACAGGGCGCUGGGGGUGUGGAUUUAAGUGCAGAUCCCUGGGGUUGUGCUGGGAUGUACAGGCUGAACGCGCUGAGACCCAUCCCUGUCCCAUCCAUCGCCACCACUCUCAUCUCUGAGCAUCACCUGGGUGUUUCAAAACAGAAAUAACCAUGAUGAUCCUCCUUCCUGAUCUGGAGAAGAAGAGAGCUCAGUUAAUCUCCAGGGGGAAAUGCCGAAGGUGGGAGCUUCAGCGUGGAAGCAGGAGCCUUUUGCUCCAUCAGCGGGAGCAGCAGCCCCCGCAGAGAGGACAAAGGCCUGCGUUGUUUCCUGCCCCGAUUCGGAGAGGUGCCUCCCUCGCCGCGCUGCACAUGCCGCGGAGCCGUGCCUGGGUGCCAGGAGGAGUUUCCAGCCGGCUCCAUCAGCAUCUCCAGGCACCGCCUGGCAAGGACAUCGUCCCCCCGGGGAUGGGGGCUCAAGGGGAUGCCCAGGGGUCACCGAGGAAUGGUCCCCCCACCCGCCACAGCAUAAUCGGUUCCCUAUUAAUCUGGCAUUUUAUUAUUAUUAUUAUUGUUAUUAUUAUUAAACAUCUC